rnacentral:rRNA from 1 species
CCUACGGGAGGCAGCAGUAAGGAAUAUUGGUCAAUGGAGGCAACUCUGAACCAGCCAUGCCGCGUGCAGGAAGACUGCCCUAUGGGUUGUAAACUGCUUUUAUCCGGGAAUAAACCUGCUUACGUGUAAGUAGCUGAAUGUACCGGAAGAAUAAGGAUCGGCUAACUCCGUGCCAGCAGCCGCGGUAAUACGGAGGAUCCAAGCGUUAUCCGGAUUUAUUGGGUUUAAAGGGUGCGUAGGCGGCCUGUUAAGUCAGGGGUGAAAGACGGUAGCUCAACUAUCGCAGUGCCCUUGAUACUGAUGGGCUUGAAUGGACUAGAGGUAGGCGGAAUGAGACAAGUAGCGGUGAAAUGCAUAGAUAUGUCUCAGAACACCGAUUGCGAAGGCAGCUUACUAUGGUCUUAUUGACGCUGAGGCACGAAAGCGUGGGGAUCAAACAGGAUUAGAUACCCUGGUAGUCCACGCCCUAAACGAUGAACACUCGCUGUUGGCGAUCACAGUCGGCGGCUAAGCGAAGUCGUUAAGUGUUCCACCGUGGGAGGUACGCCCGCCGAGGUAGAACGUUAAAGUAAGUUAGACGGCGUGAGACGUAGACGACGGACGACGACGAGGGAGGAGG